rnacentral:rRNA from 1 species
CAGGGAAUCUUGCGCAAUGGGCGAAAGCCUGACGCAGCGACACCGCGUGGGGGAUGAAGGCCCUAGGGUUGUAAACCCCUUUUCUCAGGGAAGAGUAAGGACGGUACCUGAGGAAUAAGGAUCGGCUAACUACGUGCCAGCAGCCGCGGUAAUACGUAGGAUUCGAGCGUUGUCCGGAUUUACUGGGCGUAAAGGGUGCGUAGGCGGCAUGGUAAGUCUCAUGUGAAAUCUCCCGGCCUAACUGGGAGGGGUCAUGGGAAACUGCCACGCUUGAGGGCAGCAGAGGAGAGCGGAAUUCCGGGAGUAGUGGUGAAAUGCGUAGAUACCCGGAGGAACACCCGAGGCGAAAGCGGCUCUCUGGGCUGUACCUGACGCUGAGGCACGAAAGCGUGGGGAGCAAACCGGAUUAGAUACCCCUGUAGUCC